ACUAGGGACUCUUCUUCCCAUUCCCACUCAAUCCAACAGCUCUGCUUUGCCUGCUUUACUCACUGCUCAUGAAAAGCAGUGGGUGAAAAUAUCCUCCUCUUUAUUUCCUGCUUUAUUUCUUUUAAACACCCCAGCUCAUGCCAGCCUCUCUCAGGAUGACAUUCCUCUUCAGGAUGGGAUCAAGGACUCUUCCUUUUGUCAUUGGCAGUGGGGGACCUUCUCCUGGGCCUGGUGGGACCUUGUGCACAAGAAGACCCAGCCUUGGCUCAGUCUGGAUGACAGAACAGGGCCCUUAUUCCAGCCCACACCUCCAUCUCUGCUGUUUGAUAGAACUGGGCUGAGAGUUGUGUUUUUUAAUUUUAUUUUAUUAUUAGGCUUCAUGCUUGAGGGAUAUUCAUAAAUGGUUUAUGAUAAUUUAUCAGCCCACUUGGGUGAAUAUUGAAUUUUGUAUUUUACAUGGCAUGCCAAUUUCCCAUCUGUUGUAUUUGAAUAAUAUACAGGAUAGACACUACCACUCAAGUAAUCCCUUUACUACCAAAUCAAUAUACAGUGCAUAUGGUGCUGUUUGGCCCACAGAUAUUUAUUGUAGGUCUCUUUGGAUAAUUAUCUUCUAACUCCCCCUGUGUCCUGGUUCUGUAAGCCCUGAUCCUGCAAAUGCCUAUGACAUGAGUGGCCUCACACAUGUGAGCCCUUCAGCCAUGUUUACUGAAAGUUUAUUUGCAAAACCUUCAGAAUGUUCUGUUGGCACCUUUCAUUGCUCCUGGAGAGCACCUGGGAUGGAAUGGGAUGGGAUGCUGGUUGUUGCAGAUGAUGCUCAUCUUUUCUGCUGCCUGCCAGGAUUUUCUGUUCACACAGAUUUGCAUGACAUUUCUUCAACUGCAAACCAGUUUUGGGAACCUUGCUUUAAUGAAGGCUGAUCCUCCUGUUUCAAAGAGAAGACAGUCAAAUGACUUUACAAAAAAACACCCCAAAAAACCCAAGCAAACCCACACCUCACCAAAUUAUCUGCACAGGGUUUAACAUCUGAGAAGGAUGGGACAAAGAGGGAAAGCCUUGAAGAUAAAGCCCCACCUUUAAUUCCUGGUCUGCAACCAGCAUUGGGAAAGGCACCAAAACACUGCACAGGAACUGAGCUGUCCUCAUCAAGAGGAAAAAAUUCCCUUUGACAUUGGCAGCAUUUCCUUAAAUGCCCGUGGUACAUCUCCAUGGUCUGGAAAUAGGAAACAAAUAAACACUAAUGAAUCAAUCUGACAGCUCUCAGAUGUGUAACAGGGCAAAGGUGCCCUAGCUCCAGAUAAAUCCCGGGACAGACACACAGAUGAUUUUUUUAAGCUGCCUUUGAAUUCAUUCAGUCAAAAGAGAACAAAAUUAAUUAGAAAGAUUUAAGGAUGGGCGUGAUCACAUCAGUACAAGGCAUUUAAAAGGGGGUCGGAGGUAGCGCCAAAGAAAGAGGCAAAUUGUUGUGUAAAAAUACGCGAAAAUAAUAGUGGUCCUGGAAGGAAUGUUUUUCUUCUCUCUGGCUGCUACAAAAACAGUUGACUACUGAGAAGCAAAGAGGAAAUUUGCAAGAAAGGGCACAGCACAACAGCAGCGGGGACUGUUAGGGGGAACGGUAGGCGCUUUGUUAUUUCGGGAACUUCACUGUAAUUUUAAAGCGUUAUUUAUAAUAGUAAUAAUGCCAGCCAACUUGUUUCACUUAAUACACAACCAGCCUAAAUAAAAGGCUACAAAAGCAGCUGGGAACAGUACAGUUUCCUACUGUAAUUGUGUGUACGUAUCCCAACAUCUGAUGAGCCCCGCUCCACGUUUCCUUAUUGUUAUCGCCAACAAUUAUUCCCG